rnacentral:tRNA from 1 species
GCCUGGCUGGCUCAGUCUGUGGAGUGUGUGACUCUUGAUCUCAGGGUCGUGAGUUCAAGCCCCAUGUUGGGCA